AUACAGAUUAUAUAUGCGAGUGGAUUUUAAUCAGAUAAGGGAAGAAAAUAUAGAUGGUAAGCGAACACUUCAACGAUAGGAUUGGUUCAUAAUAUUAUAUAUAUAUAUAUAUAUAUACAAGUCUAGCCACAUCUAAACUUGAGAGUUAUCUGUGUAGGAGACCAGACAGAUACAGACAGAUAAAAAGAUGAAAUUUUACGUUUUUAUCAUAACGCUGCAAGCUACAGUCCACGCUAUGAGCAUCAGGCCAUAUGAAGUUCGAGAACUGCGUGGUUCUUUACACAAUGCAUACCGUCAUGACGUAGAAAGAGAUAUAGAUGGGGGUUUCCGAACUCUGUCCGUGCAGAAUGACCUCGGGAUUCUCUCGGAAAUGCUGACGAAAACAAAGGCAAACACUGACAUAAGUUACAGGGCAAUGGUGAAAGACACGUAUUCAGCCUUCAGUGCAUCGGAAAUCAGAGAAUUGUUGCUCCUCCUUGGAAAAUGAUUCAAAAACAAGGAAAAAUCAUACUAACAGUACCACUACGAUCACAGUUAAAUUGAAUAGCUAUGACGAAUCGGUAGUUGAUUAGUUUAUUUCUGUUUAUCUCAGUAGUAUUACGUGAAUGAUAAUUAUGUAUUUUAAUGAUAAUCUCAUAAAUCAAUAUGGCUGGAUGUUUGUAUGUUGGUAUUGUAUUGGUAUGUGACACUUUAAUGAAAUAUUUCUGAUUCUGGUAUUCUCUCACAGAGUUAUUCAGGUUGUUCCUGAAAAUUUGUUAGUCAUAUUGUUAAAAGUAUUUAUAUCUAGUACUUGGCAUAUAUUCUAACUCUAUUCAAUCUGGUACAAAAGCUUGAUAAUGUAACUUUUCCAUCAUAUCAGUAUGUUUAUACAAAGUGUAUGCUUUAGACUGGUAUCUUAAUAAAAAAAUUACUUAUCUGA